rnacentral:rRNA from 1 species
CAGGACGAACGCUGGCGGCGUGCCUAAUACAUGCAAGUCGAGCGGAAAUUUAUUGGUGCUUGCACCUUAAAUUUAGCGGCGGACGGGUGAGUAACACGUGGGUAACCUACCUUAUAGAUUGGGAUAACUCCGGGAAACCGGGGCUAAUACCGAAUAAUACUUUUUAACACAUGUUUGAAAGUUGAAAGACGGUUUCGGCUGUCACUAUAAGAUGGACCCGCGGCGCAUUAGCUAGUUGGUGAGGUAACGGCUCACCAAGGCAACGAUGCGUAGCCGACCUGAGAGGGUGAUCGGCCACACUGGGACUGAGACACGGCCCAGACUCCUACGGGAGGCAGCAGUAGGGAAUCUUCCACAAUGGACGAAAGUCUGAUGGAGCAACGCCGCGUGAGUGAAGAAGGAUUUCGGUUCGUAAAACUCUGUUGCAAGGGAAGAACAAGUAGCGUAGUAACUGGCGCUACCUUGACGGUACCUUGUUAGAAAGCCACGGCUAACUACGUGCCAGCAGCCGC